rnacentral:rRNA from 1 species
UAAAACCAGCACCUCAAGUGGUCAGGAGGAUUAUUGGGCCUAAAGCAUCCGUAGCCUGUUCUAUAAGUUUGCGGUUAAAUCCAUAUGCUCAACGUAUGGGCUGCCGUAAAUACUGUAGAACUAGGGAGUGGGAGAGGUAGACGGUACUCGAUAGGAAGGGGUAAAAUCCUUUGAUCUAUUGAUGACCACCUGUGGCGAAGGCGGUCUACCAGAACACGUUCGACGGUGAGGGGUGAAAGCUGGGGGAGCAAACCGGAUUAGAUACCCGGGUAGUCCCAGCUGUAAACGAUGCAGACUCGAUGAUGCAAUGGCAUAGAGCUAUUGCAGUAUCGCAGGAAGCCGUUAAGUUUGCCGCCUGGGAAGUACGUACGCAAGUAUG